CCAAAAGAGUUGGUCAAUGCGAUUACUCCCAAGUUGGAAUAUCGGAAAACCGAUGAAGA
ncrna:Lactobacillus crispatus ST1 Transposase-1 RNA